CGAAUUCCCCACGUGCCUGUCUGUCUCUGACAGCUCGCGCAAAAUACUUGGCUGAGCAGGCGCCCGCUGUUCUGAGCCUGCUGUGCCUCCUCCCCAUCUUCCCAGGGGGUUCUGUAGACACAGCCAGGGAUGGGAAGGGACUGGAGCCCAGGGCCUGGUGGACAGUUGGGGGAAAGAAAGGGCCAGAGAGACCAGUUUCAAUUCACACGACUCUAUUCCCAGUUCCUGGCUCUGAGCAUGGGGGACAGGGGAGGCUACUGUGAGCAAGCCAGUCUUGUCUGGGUGGCAGCUGCCUAUAUCCCUUCUGCUCUCUCACCUUCUCAGGAGGCCUUGCCAGGGGUUUCCCAUUCCCCUGGGCAAAUGAAACCACACCUGCCGCUCCGUGUCGCUCCACUAUGCCCCUCUUCCCAGGAAUCCAGCUAACCCCUGCCCAGACUAAUGGGGAGAAGAGAGGAGAGGACUCAGUGGCUGGCGGAAGGCCAGUGUCCCAGGCUCUUCUGGACCAUCCUGUCAUUCUCCACAGCCUAACAGUGGUCCCAGGAAGACUCCUAGCCUUGCUGUUGAGGUGAGCCCCACACUGUGGGACAAAGCCUCCUCUCUCCAUUGCACAGAUGGGGUUGCUGAGGACCCCAGGGGAGGGGAGCUGCAGGCAGCCAUGAGUCAGAGGGGGAGCUGGGAAGCCGCCCGGCCCUGCCUGCUGUCGCUGGAAGCAACAGCCUGCGUUUCCUCCUCACACUGGUGUCUCGGGAAGCGUGGGCAGCAGGCGGCAGGCUGCCACAGGGAGGACCCCUCCUGUGUCUGCAGGCCAGCCACAGCCCCUUGCUGCCUGACUGGGCCCAGAGCCCACCCUCUCCACGUAGAACUGGCCUUUCAGUCCCUGGAAUAGGUUCUUGUCCCUGGAGGUCUCCUGGCUCUGCAACCUCAGGAGAGCCCCAAGCCCAGCCCCAUUCCAGUCCCACUCUCCCGUGUUCUCUAGCGUCGUCAAACAAGGUGACUGAAGCGUGGCCAUGCAUGCUUCCUCCCCGAAGGAAAACCUACUCUUUGGUGACUGUAGAAUCCCAACAUGACAAGAAUGCCAACUUAACACAUCUUUUCAUUGCAAACAGUCUAUGAUUCUAGACUCCUGUCACUAAGAUUCUAGACUGCCAAAAUCCUACAGCUCUGGGAAGGGGCCACUGGGCCCACCCACCUCCACCUCCGACCAAUCUCUCACCAAAGCUUUUGGGAAGAGGGCUGGGCUGGAGAGGGUCAACAGGAAAUGACAUAAAGCUGGGGUAUACUAUGGGCUGGGGGAGGAACCAG
rnacentral:lncRNA from 1 species